AGGUAGUUUCGACGAGUCGGGUUGAUUCAGUGUUUACAAGAGACUCCGGCCAGAUUACUCAUAUGGAAGAACUUUCGAUUGUUUUGAUGUUGGUUAUGUGGUUUUACCUAUGUUUACUUCUUACUAGGAUUUUGGACACCGUUCUUGCUAUUUUCUACAUGAUUCUCCCUUCGGAGGAUGAUGACGAUUAGACUAGACUACGUAUAAAUCGGGCCCCCUCUUUUGUUAUGUAUAUAGUAGGGUCCGAUGUGCUAUAACUCUAAUGGUAAAGUGCUUGUCGUAAGUCGGAAAGACCAUUUUCCCUUAUGUAAGUUAUAACUAUGUCUUUUC
rnacentral:lncRNA from 1 species